rnacentral:rRNA from 1 species
CGAAGACCAGAGCCGAGGGGCUUCUCUGGCCAUAUACUGACGCUGAGGCGCGAAAGCGUGGGUAGCAAACAGGAUUAGAUACCCUGGUAGUCCACGCCGUAAACGAUGUGUACUAGAUAUUGGAGAUAUUGACUCUUCAGUGUCAUAGCUAACGCAAUAAGUACACCGCCUGGGAAGUACGGUCGCAAGACUAAAACUCAAAGGAAUUGACGGGGGCCCGCGCAAGCGGUGGAUUAUGUGGUUUAAUUCGAAGCAACGCGCAAACCUUACCUGGGCUUGAAAUCCCGAGAAGAUUGACCAAAAUCGAUUGUACUCUUCGGAGAACUCGGUGACAGGCGCUGCAUGGCUGUCGUCAGCUCGUGUCGUGAGAUGUUGGGUUAAGUCUCGCAACGAGCGCAACCCCUAUCCUUAGUUGCCAGCAUUAAGUUGGGCACUCUAGGGAGACUGCCUGGGUUAACCAGGAGGAAGGUGGGGAUGACGUCAAGUCCUCAUGGCCCUUAUGUCCAGGGCUACACACGUAAUACAAUGGUGCAUACAAAGGGAAGCGACCUGGUGACAGUGAGCAAAUCUCAAAAAGUGCAUCUCAGUCCGGAUUGGAGUCUGCAACUCGACUCCAUGAAGUUGGAAUCGCUAGUAAUCGGAGAUCAGCACGCUCCGGUGAAUACGUUCCCGGGCCUUGUACACACCGCCCGUCACACCAUGGGAGUUGAUCUUACCUGCCCGA